GGCCACUGAGUCUGAGAGGCUGGGCCCAGCUCAGGAGGUCUGGUUGCCCUGGCAACAUGGGUGGAGCUAAGCCUCCCAACUGCCCAUGACCGUUAUUCAGGAAGUUUAGGUUGGUGGUUGCCUGCUUGCUGAGGUUGAUGGGGCAGCAACUGUCUAACUGUAUUUUUUACAGAUGCGAAGCAAAGCUUGGUCAGAGUCUUCUAGGCUGGGACUAAAACCCAAGUAUCUUCUCUCUGAUCCAUUUGUGAUCUUCCACAUCACCACGUUUGUCAUCAAUGGCUCCAAUGUCAUCUCCAGCCUUAUAUUGGAAAUGCUAGGCUUGGGGGCAUUUCAAAAAUCCCUACCAGAUGGUGAAACAUGGACUGAUUCUGAUCCAGGGGAGAAAUUUAAUGCCAAACUUCACCUAGGGCAAGUUUUCUAAAGCAUGGUCAGGGGACAUCUGAAUCAGAAUUGCCUAGGAUAUUUGUUUUAAAUGCUGAGUCCCAGGCCCCAGUCCUUACCAAAUCUCCUGGGGAUGGGCCUGGAAAGAAGGACACUAGGCCCCUGUCUCCCGCCACACACAAAAACCACAUCAAAAUGGAUUAGAGACUUAAAUCCAAGACCUGAAAUGAUGAAACUACAUAUUUUUUUUUGUAAGACAUGAAAAGCAAAGGGAACCAAAGCAAAAAUAACAUGUAUAUAUUUUUUGAGACAGAGUUUCGCUCUUGUCAUCCAGGCUGGAGUGCAAUGGCGCAAUCUCGGCUCACUGCUACCUCUGCUGCCUUUUUUCUUUUCUUAUUUUUUUGAGACAGAGUCUCACUCUUGUUGCCCAGGCCUGAGUGUAGUGGUGCACUCAGCUCACUGCAGCCUCUACCUCCUGGGUUCAAGCAAUUCUUGAGCCUCAGCCUCCCAAGUAGCUGGGAUGACAGGUGUGCACCACCAUGCCCAGCUAACUUUUGUAUUUUUAGCAGGGCAGGGUUUCACCAUGUUGGCCAGCCUGGUCUCAAACUCCUGUCCUUAUGUGAUCUGCCUGCCUCAGCCUCCCAAAGUGCUGAGAUUACAGGCGUGAGCCACAUGCCUGGCCCCAAAAUGGUACAUCAAACUAAAAAACCUUCAGCACAGCAAGGAAAACAAUCAACAAAGUGAAGAGACAACCUGUAGAAUGAAGAAAAUAGGUGAAAACUAUCUUACCCCUUUCCUUUUCAUCUCAUUGACAGUAGAUUGGUGGUUACCAGAGACUGGGAAGUGGGGAGGAAGGAGGGGGAAUAAACACCUUCAUUACACUAAACUGUACAUUUAAAAAUGGUAGAAAUGCUAAAUUAUAUGUAUAUACUUUCAGUUAAAAAUACACAAAUGAAAGGUAAAAUUUUUCUUUUUUUGAGAUGGGGUCUUGCUCUGUCGUCCAGGCUGGAGUGCAAUGGCGUGAUCUUGGUUCACUGCAACCUCUGCCUCCCAGGUUCAAGUGAUUCUCCUGCUUCAGCCUCCUGAGUAGCUGGGACUACAGGCACCUGCCACCAUGCCCAACUAAUUUCUGUAUUUUUAGUAGAGUCAGCGUUUCACCACGUUGGCUAGGCUGGUCUCGAACUCCUGACUUCGUGAUCCGCUGGCUUCGGCCUCACAAAGUGCUGUGAUUACAGAUGUGAGCCACCAUGCCCCGCCAAAGUCCUCCCACAGCUUCUUGUGGGCUUUCUAGAUAAAGGAAGCUCACCUGGCCAGUCUACUUCCCGUGCAUGAGAAGGUUAAACAAAGACUUCUAGUCUCCCGGAUGGAGAGGAAAACAAUGUCUGAGACUCCCCGGUUUUGCCCAUAACUGCAUUGUCCUGUGGAUGCCCAGUGGAACCCAUGGUGAGAACCCAAGGGUCAGGCUGAAUAGGCCAUGCUCCUCUGUGGGAUAGCAAAUGACUUCUCAUGAGAUCUGAUGGUCUUACGAGGGACGCUUCCCACUUCACUCACUCUUCUCUCUCCUGCUGCCACAUGAAGAAGGACCUUCCUUCCCCGUCCCCUUCCACCAUGAUUGUAAGUUUCCUGAGGCCUCCCCAGCCGUGGAACUGUGAGUCAGUUAAGCCUCUUUCCUUUAUAAAUUACUCAGUCUCCAGUAUUUCUUCAUAGCAGUGUGAAAACAGACUAACAACAUGUACCAUGUGUCAGGCUCUGUGUUAAUUGCUUUUUGUGCAUUAUUUCAUUUAAGAUUUCUGUGAGGUAGCAUCAUUAUAAUCACUUCUUUUUAAUUAAUUUUUGAUUUUUGUGGGUAUAUAGCAAGUUUGUAUUUAUGGGUUACGUGAGAUAUUUUGAUAUAGGCAUGCAAUCAGUAUUAAUCACAGCAUGGAGAAUGGGGUAUUCAUAACCUAAAGCAUUUAUCCUUUGUGUUACAAUCCGAUUAUAUACUUUUAGUUAUUUUUAAAUGUACAAUUAUUUUUGACUAAGUCACCAUGUUGUGCUAGCAAAUACUAUGUCUUAUUCUUUCUAAUCCUAUUUUCAGGUCUAUUAACCACCCCCACAUCCCCCUACACCCGCACUACCCUUCUCAGCCUCUAGUAACUAUCCUUCCACUCUCUAUGUUCAUGAGUGGCAUUGAUUAAAUUUUUGGCUCCCACACAUAAGUAGAACAUGCUUGUCUUUCUGUGCCUGGCUUGUUUGACUUAACCUAAUGACCGUCAGCUCCAUCCAUGUUGUUGCAAAUGCUAGGGUCUCCUUUUUUGUAGCUGUAUGGAACUCCAUUGCGUAUCUGUGCAUUUUCUUUAUCCAUUCAUCUGUUGAUGGACACUUAGGCUGCUUCCAAAUUUUGACUAUUGUAAACAGUGCUGCAAUAAACAUGGGAGUGCAGAUAUCUCUUUGAUACACUGAUUUCCUUUCUUUGCGGUGAAUGCCUAGGAGUGGGAUUGCUGGGUAGUGUGGUAGCUCUAGUUUUAGUUUUCUGUGGAACCUCCAAACUGUUCUCCAUGGCGGCUGUACGAAUUUACAUUUCCACCAAUGGUGGACAAGGCUUCCCUUUUCUCCACGUCCUUGCCAGCAUUUCUUAUUGCCUGUCUUUUGGAAAAAAGCCAUUUUAACAGGGGUGAGAUGCUAUUUCAUUAUAGUUUUAAUUUACGUUUCUCUGAUGAUAGUGAUGCUGAGCACCUUUUCAUAGGCCUGUUUGCCAUUUGCAUGUCUUCAUUUGAAAAAUGUCUAUUUAGAUCUUUUGCCCGUUUUUAAAUUGGAUUUUUUCCCCUGUAAAGUUGUUUGAGCUCCUUGUGUAUUUUGGUUACUAAUCUCUUAUCAGAUGAGCAGUUUGCAAAUAUUUUCUCCCAUUCUGCGGGUUGUCUCUUCACUUGGCUGAUUGUUUCCUUUGCUGCUCAGAAUCUUUUUCACUUGAUGUGAUCCCAUUUGUCCGUUUUGCUUUGGUUGCCUGUGCUUGUGGGGUAUUGCUCAAGAAAUUCUUUGCCCAUUCCAAUGUCCAGGAGAGGUUCCCCAGUGUUUUCCCUUAGUAGUUUCAUAGUUUGAGGUCUUAGAUUUAAGUCUUUAAUUCAUUUUGAUUUAAUUUUUGUGUAUGAUGUUUGAGGUAGAGGUCUAGUUUCAUUCUUCUGCAUGUGGAUAUCCACGUUUCCCAGCACUAACUGAAGAGACUGCCCUUUCCUCACUGUGUAUGUAUUCCUGGCACUUCUGUCAAAAAUGAGUUCACUGUAGAUAUGUCAGUUUAUUUCUGGCUUCCCUAUUCUGUUCUACUGGCUUGUGUGUCUGUUUUGAUGCCAGUACCAUGCCAUUUGGGUUACUACAGCUCUGUAGUAAAAUUUGAAGUCAGGUAAUGUGAUUCCUCCAGUUCUGUUCUUUUUGCUUAGGAUAACUUUAGGUCUUUUGUUGUUCCAAGUAAAUUUUAAGAUUGUUUUUCUAUUUCUGUGAAGAAUGUCAUUGGUAUUUUGAUAGGAAUUGCAUUGAAUCUGUAGGCUUCUUUGGGUAGUAUGAACAUGGAAUAUUUUUCCAUUUUUUGUGUCCUCUUCAAUUUCUUUAAUCAGUGUUUUAUGGUUUUCACUGUACAGAUCUUUUAUUUCUUUGGUUAGUUAUUUGUAGCUAUUGUAAAUGAGAUGAUUUUCUUCUUUUUCAGAUUGUUUGCUGUUGGCAUAUAGAAAUGUUAUCGAGUUUUGUAUGUUGAUUUUGUAUCCUGCAACUUUACUGAAUUUGCUUAUCAGUUGUAAUAGUUUUUUUGGUGGAGUCUUUAGACUUUUCUGACUAUAAAAUCAUGUCAUCUGCAAACAAGGAUUAUUUUACUUCUUUUCCAAUUUGGCUGCCCUUUUUUUCUUUCUCUUGUCUGAUUGCUCUAGCUAGGACUUCCAGUACCAUGUUGAAUAACAGUGGUGAAAGUGGGCAUCUUUGUCUUGUUACAGAUCUUAGAGGAAAGGCUUUCAGUUUCUCCCCAUUUGGUAUCAUCACCUCCUCUUUAGAGAUGAGGAAUCUGGUAUACAGAGAACGUAAGUAUCUUGUCUGAGGUUACAUUGUUAGGUCACAUCCAGAGCCUGAUUCGAAACCAGGUCUGUUACACUCCAGUGAAUUGUGUUCCACAAGUAAGAAGAUAUUUUUUGUUUUAUUGUUCCUCAUAUUGACCUGACAUGGCAAGGAUUGUUCACGUGACUUUAGGUUGAACAUAAUGUUCUCCCCAAAAGGCUGGCCAGUUUGUGUUUUGUUCCCCCUGUCGUUCCACCUAAUAAACUUUGGGAAACCUAAGUAUCCCCAAGAAUGCUGCAGGCAAGUCAACUGCUGUGGCCUCCAUUUUUGGCUCAGGGUCAGCCCCUCUCAGUCAUAGCAGGACUCAGCCCACCUACAGGCACUGACAUUAAAACAGUGGGGUGGAAGAGGCUUUGAGGUAAAUAGAUGGAAAUAUUUCUUUCUUUUGGCAUUUAUUUUCUGGGUGGUGGGCCUUAGGGAGGAAUGGCGGGAGGUGAAGGAUUCAUUCCUUCUAGCAUCAGGCUAGUUUAGUGGGCUUCUUGGGUCCAGUGGUGAUUGCCUGUGUUAGGUCAUCCAAGAGGGAAGCCGAAGGACAUCCAGGGAGCAGGUGUUCCCAAUGCCAUGGUGACAACACCCUUUCUUUUGGGGAGCCUUCCUGUCUUGCCCACUGCCUCCUACCCCCACAAUAAUCUUACUUCCCUAUCUUCCAGGAAAGGAGCAACUCAGUCACAAUGAAGAAUAAGUGACCAUCAAUGUUGAGUAGCUCCCUGCUCUCCAGGGGUGGUGAGGGGUGAGAUAGGAGUUGCCUCUUAAUUGUAAAGUUGAAGGAAUUAUCUUUACUUCUGGAACUUCAAAUGUCAAUGAGUGGCUUGGGGAAAGGGUAUCCUAGGUUGGAUGCUGAUGCUGCUGGUAAUCACAAAAUAUUCUCCACUUUUUUUUUUAAAGCUUUUAUGUUUUAUUUACAAAUGCCAACCUUUAGGCCCUUGUUCAAUGGGUUCCUACCAGACUCACUCCUUGGUCUAUGCACUCUGAAAACACCUCGUUGGGUUCCUCCAGGUGUCUCCCUGUUAGCAAGUGGGAUCCCCACAAAAACCCCACUUUUGGGUGCUCAGUUUUGAGUGCCACUAACCCAAUAAGCCCAAGAUCCCCGGUAUGAUUUCAGGAGGCCAUGGGCACCACCCUCUUUGAUGUCAGCCCUAAAGCUUUGAUUAUACCCCGGGGUGGCUUUAGAUUGAUGCAACAGAAUACCAUGAACGGAGUGGCUUGUAAACAGCAUACAUUUAUUCCUCACAGUUCUGGAGGUUGGGAAGACUAAGAUCAAGGCACUGGCAGAUAUGGUAUCUGGUGAGGACCUGCGUCCUGGUUUAUAGAUGGCACCUUCUGGUUGUAACCUCACGUGGUGGAAGGUGCAGGAGGUCUUUCUGGGGUCUCUUUUAUAAGGGCACUAAUCCCAUUUGGAAGGGAUCCACUCUUAUGACCUAACCACCUCCCUAAGGCUUCAUUGCCACAUACCACCACAUUAGGGAUUAGUUUCAGCAUACGGAUUUGGGGAGGAUACAAACAUUUAGACCAUGGUGCAUCCAUAGUGUGGACAACUCUUCAGUCAUCAGAACACCUUCUGCUUGCCUAUCCUUGUAGGCAUUUUGGUCCACUGAGAAGCAAACUGAGCUCAAAUCAAGGAAACUUGCAUUUGAGUUCCAUCCUUGUCACCAUUUUUCUAUCAUGUGAUAUUGAGCAAGUCACUUUACAUUCCUGGCUCACAGUUUCCUCAGCUAUCGUAACUCUGGACCACUUUGCGAGGUUUUUGUCAGGAUCAAAUAGAAUAAUAUAAAUGAAAGUAAUUUUAAAUGACUAAGCUGAAUAGUGAUUAGAAUGCUUUCAGCAAACAGGCAAAACAAAAUUGAGAUUGGCUGCCUUAGUGUGUUUUAUACUGCUAUAACAGAAUAUCUGAGACUGGAUAAUUUAUAAUGAACAGAAAUUUAUCGGCUCAUAGUUCUGAUGAACAGGAAGUCUAGGAUUAAGGCACUGGCAUCUGACAAGCACCUUCUUGCUGUGUGACCACAUGGCAGAAGGUGGGAGGGCAAAGAGGGCAAGAGAGAAACACAAAGGGGGCCAAAUAUGCCCUGUCAUAAUGACAUUAAUUCAACCCAUGAGGGCAGAGUCCUCACGGCCUAAUCGCCUCUCAAAGGCCUCACCUCUUAAUACUGUUGCAAUUAAAUUUCAACAUGCAUUUUGGAGGAAACAAACAUUCAAAUCGUAGCAUUGGCUUAAAUAAUAAAGGAGAUUUAUUGGGUCCUGUAAGUGAAAAGUUCAGAGACUGGGCACACAUUGACACCAUGACUUUGAUUUCUCCAUGCGUCUCUCAGCUCUGUCCUCCUCCUGGUCCUGGCUUCAUCCUGAGGCUUGAGCUGUGGUGGCUUCAGGAUUCACAGGUUCUCACAACAACCACAGUAAGAGAGACUCUUGAGAAAGAGGAACAAUUUCCCCAGAGCGUCCACCAAACCAGCCCUUGUGUCUCACUGCCCGAACUGGGUCCCAUAUCUGUUGUAUUCUCUGAAGAGACUCCCAGUAAGUAGGACUUCUAAAUUUUGAUAUAUAAAACAAAAGAAGAAAAUAUUACCUCUACUUCUAACACUGUUGGAGAUUAUAACCUAGUUAUACAAUGGAAAUUAAGGUCCAUAGAGAUUAAGAUAUAUGCUAAAUUAAUUAUAUUGCAGAGUGAAAUUUAAACUCAGCUUGUUGACUCUAAAUUCUCUAAGUUUUCUUUCUUUUUCCCAGUUUGCCUCUUUUUAACAUAUUAGAAUAUCUGUAAUGAUUUUGUAAGACUGACCAUGUUCAAACCCAUGUAGUCUGAGGGUAAAGAAAAAAAGGAUGACCGUAUCUAUUAAAAAUUUCAAUGUAGAAAAGUUCAGAGAAGUAAAUAAAAGUAAAUUGAGAUCUCCUGUCCAGUGAUAAACCAUGAAUACAUUGGUAAAUGUCCUUCCAAAUGUAACACUGCAUAAAAACACAUGGAUGUGUACAACUUAAUAAAAAUGGAGCCAUACUCUUCGUGACUAAGACUGAGAAUUGCCUGCCAAGUGUAUAGUCUCAUUUUCCCCUGUGGUGACAGGGCUCUUGGCCACAUUCCCAGUAGAAAAAUUCUUUUCUGGGCUCCCUGACAGAUAGGAGUGGGAUGUGGCUUGGUAGGAGUCCUGGUAAAAGCUAUUGUGUCCCUUUUCUGGGAUUCUCAGACAUGGCAUGAUGGCUGAAGCUCCAGUAGCCACAAUGUAGCCUUCAGGGUGGAAGCCACCUUCUAAGGAUGGCAGAAUAGAAGGACUGAAGGAUCCUGCACCUCUGAUGGUUUCAAGGAGCUGCCACACGAGCAUAACCUGUCUGUCUCCAACUUCUUUUAUAGCAGAGAAUAAACCAUUAGUCUAUUUCAGCCAUUAGACUUUAAAACCUAUGCACAUUGUGCACACUUUAAAAUUGAAAUCUAAAAUUUUUAGUAAGUUUAAAUAGUUACAAAUAAUGUAAUUUUGACUUACUCAAACUGUUAACAUUCUAAAACUGUCACAUCAUUCUUUAAAGUACAUUCAAAGUAGGCUGGGUACAGUGGCUCAUGUCUGUAAUCCCAGCACUUGGGAGGCCAAGAAGGGAGGAUUGCUUGAGCCCAGGAGUUCAAGACUAGCAUAGGCAUCAUGGACAACCUCAUCUCUACCAAAAAAACACAAAAAUUAACUGGGUAUGGUGUCUCACGCCUGUAGUUCCAGCUACUCGGGAGGCUGAGAUGGGAGGAUUGCUUGAGCCCAGGAGCUUGAGGCUACAGUAAGCCCUGAUUGCACCACUGCACUCUAGGGUAACAGAGUGAGACCCUGUCUCAAAAAAACAAAGUGUAUUCAAAGAAAUGUAAAUUCUAUAAUAAUCUCAUAUUCACUGUCAUCUACUUAAAAAUACAUGAACAAAACCUUUAACAGUUUAAUUUUAGAUCGUUUAUUUUUCUGCUUGAACUCUUAUUAAAAUGAAAGUGAAGUGUGUUUGGUAGGACUUCAUCCUAACAUACGUCUAUGCUUCACAGUCUUUUAUAGAUUACAUUAGUCAAUGUUUCUGCAGUGAAAUUAUACACACAUGAACACAUAUAUUCAAAUCCUUUUUCAUUUCUUGUGACCACACAUCUCUGAGGGUUAAAAUUUUGUCCUGAAUUGAGGUACAUUACAAUUUUAAUGAAUAUACAAUUGAGCAAAAAAGUAAGCAUAUUUUAAAAUUUUAUUAAUAAUAAACAUAAAUUGGGAGCUGCAUUUCUUAAGAGGAAUGGAGUAUUUUUUUUCAACUAAUUGGUUCACUUAUUCAUGGUCGAAUAUUAUUUAUUACUAGAAUGAAACGGUUCAGCUAGUCUUGUUCUCGUAGAAGUUAGCAUUCAAACCUUGUUCACAUAAACAAGUAAAUAAAAAUGGAACAUGUUUUAUUCUAGCAUUGUCAUAAUUCUUUGAACUUUUUACAGAUUUCAUGCUAAACUGACAUAAUUAUAUAGCAUCAAAACCAUUUUUAAUAUUCUAUCAGCUAAUAGUUUGAUUAAGCCUUCCUUUUUGUUGAAAGCAAGGAAUUAGAAAUCAAUGACUUCAUAGGAUUUGCAACCCAAUCGUUAGAAUAAUUCACGUUCUCAACUUCUGGGAAUGGUAUCAAAAAGGCUAUGCACCAAGACCUGUCAAACGACUAUUAAUUACCUUCUUAUUCCCUUACACAGGGGCACUUGUUUAAACUGCUGUUGACAGAAAGUGUUGGGAGAUAUUCAAACAUAAAUUUCAAUUUACCUUUAUCAGCCUAAUAUUUUUGAUGAAAUGCUUUUGUCCCAGUGCCAGCUUUAAACAUAUUUUCAUCCAAACCUUGGAAAAUGUCCACCAAGUUUCCUAAAUGGCAAAGUGAGUUCUUAUUGCCAAACCAAUUAGUGAAGAUUAUUUAUUUUGAAAUAUGACACACAUCCCAAAAAUUGCACUAAGCAAACUUUUACAAGUCAAUAAAUAAUCAAAUGCCAACAUCCAUGUGGCUAUCACUCUUUUCUGGCAUCCUAGAAACCCCAACUUCUCUCCUUUCCCAGUCACACCUCCCUCCCUCCCUUCCUGCUGGAGGCUACCACUACCCUGACCUGAUGGUAGGCAUGCUUUUCUUAUUUAAAAUUUUACCUGUACUUUGUAUUGAAUAUUUUCUAAAUGGAAAUCUUACUGUGUGUUUCCUUUUGUGUUGCAACAUUGUGUUUGAGAAAUUCAUACGUAUACUUACAUGAUCAGUAGUGUCUUUGUUUUCAUUUUGGUGUAGUUGUCCAUUGCAUAAAAUUAGUACAAUAAAUUUAUCCAUUCUGCUAUUAAUGGGCAUUUAGGUUAUUUUCAGUUUGGUGCUACAAUGAAUCAUGCUGCUAUGAAUAUGCAUUUCUGUUCUACCUAGAAGUAGAAUUGUUGAAUUCUAGAACAUGUCUGUCUUCAAUUAUAGUAUAGAGUGCCAAUGUUUUUUUCAAAGUGGUUGUACCAAAAUUACACUCCUACUCAUAGGAGAGUGCUUGUAACUUCUCGUCCUCACUCACAUUUAUGUUCAUCAGCUCAAAGACCCUGCAUUUGUGCAUUCUUUGUAACUCCUGCAUAUUUGUCAGUCUUUAUACCUUUGCACUUCAUGUACCUUCUGGAGGGCACGUGGUGGUAGCUCACUAUGGUUUUAAUUUGUAUUUCUCUGAUAAUGAAUGAGACUUAGUUCCUCCUGUGAGUUGCUUGUUAAGACUUUGCCAAUUUUCUAUUGCAAUCUUUAUUUCUUGCUGUUUUGUAGGAGUUCCUUUUAAUAUUUUGGGUAUGAUCCCAUUAAUGCUUAUGUGUAUUGCGGUAUCUUCUCCUACUCUGUGAUUUGUCUUUUUAACUUUAAAUGGUUGUUUUUGAUGAACAAGACCUUCUUUUUCUAAUGGGGCCUGAAUAACAAGCUUUUCCUCAUUGGCAGUUCUUUUUGUGUCCUGAUGAGUAAGUUCUUCUCUACUCUGGGGCUAUGAAGAUAGUUUCCCAUAUUAUCUUUUAAAAGCUCAAUGGACACAACUUUGAGCAAUUUUUAGUUACUGUGUUUUUCAGUUCUAGAAUUCCCAUUUUUUAUUCCAAAUCUGGUACUUUUUUGAUUUUUGCUGACAUUGUUUUUUUUCCUUUUAUCUGCUUAUACACAGGAAGCAUAGAAUUUAAAAACUUAAUUAUGAACAUUUGUAUAUGGAUCUGUGUAUUAAAUAUGCACAGAUGGAAAAAAUAGUAUAAUGAAUUUCUAUGUAUUCAUUACUCUGCUUCAAUAAUGAUCAAUAUUCUUUAAUUCUUUUACAAAAUGUAUUCCCCUCUCCCUCCUCCAUUGCUACUGCUGAUGCUCCCCUCCUCCUCCGCCUCCAUCAUCAUCUUUCUCUUCCUCCUUUUCUUUUUCCUCUUUCACUUCUGUUUCCUUCUUCAUUUUAAAGCAAUUUAAAGUUUUAAAUUUAAAUUGUAAUUUAAAGCAAAUUCAAAGAGCCAGGCAUGGUGGUGUAUGCUUGUAGUUCUAGCUACUUGGGAGGCUGAGAUGGGAAGAUCACUUGAGUCUAGGAGUUUGAGUCUAGCCCUGGCAACAUAGUGAGACCCUAUCUCUAAAAAUAUAUAAAUAAUAAAAAAAAUCCAAGAUGUUAGCAUAUUUCUUUAACCGAGAUGGACUUUAAAAAAAUAUAACUGGCCAGGCACAGUGGCUCACACCUGUAAUUCCAGCACUUUGGGAGGCCGAGGCAGGUGGAUCAUUUGAGGUCAGGAGUUUAAGACCAGCCUGGCCAACAUGGUGAAACCCCGUUUUUACUAAACAUACAAAAAUUUGCCAGAUGUGGUGGCACAUGCCUGUAAUCCCAGCCACUUGGGAGGGUGAGACAGGAGAAUUGCUUGAACCCAGGAGGUGGAGGUUGCAGUGAGCCAUGAUUGCACCACUACAUUCUAAUCUGAGCAACAGAGUAAGACUCCGUCUCAAAAAUAUUUAUAUAUAUCUAUGUAUGUUUAAAAUAUUAUAUAUAAUGCAGAAUAUAUAUAUGAAAAACCAGAAAAUCACACUUAGAGAUGUUAAUACUGAUUCCUUAAUGCCAUCUACUACCUUGUUCACCUUUAAUUUUCAGUAUUCUCAUAUUAGCUUUCAGCUCUUAAACAAUUUAAGUUGUUUUCAACCUGGGCUCCAGACAAGGUCUGCACAUUGUAUUUGGUCAUUGCGGCACCAUUCUCCUUCAAUAGUGUAGUUGUUUUAAAGUCUGGAUAUGAUAAUGCCAGUAUCAGGAGCCCCUGUGGGUUUGUUUCUAGUGUUGUUUCUGCUGCCGCUGCUUCUUUUUUUCUUUGUUGUUGUUGUUGAGACAGAGUCUUGCUCUGUCACCCAGGCUGGAGUGCAGUGGCACGAUCUCAGCUCACUGCUACUUUUGUCUCCUGGGUUCAAGUUAUUCUCCUUCCUCAGCCUCCUGAGUAACUGGGAUUACAGGUACCCACCACCAUGCCCGGCUACUUUUUGUAUUUUUAGUAGAGAUGGGGGUUUCACCAUGUUGGCCAGGCUUGUCUCAAACUCCUGACCUCAAGUGAUGUUUGCCUCAGCCUCCCAAAGUGCUGGGAUUAUAGGAGCCACUGGGCCUGGCCUAUUUCUGCUUCUUUUCUUUCAUAUUGUCUUGUCUUAUGUGAUUGGUUAUCUUUUAUUGUGUGCUUGAAUUGUAUUUGAAAAGUUGUUUUUAAAAAAAUAAUGUUUAAUCUAGGAGGAUGUUUUCUUUUUCUAGAGAGGAUUUGUUUUUGCUUCUGCCACAUAUUUGGGGGCACUAGCUAUCCUGCACACCUUAUUCCAGAUGUAAAGACUGAACUUAGUUAAAGCUGGUUUAGGCUAGGCUCAUGCCUGCAAUUCCAGUACUUUGGGAGGCUGAGGUGGCCGAAUCAUUUGAGGCCACAAGUUCGAGACCAGGUUGGCCAACAUGGUGAAACCCUGUUUCUACUACUAGUAAAAAUCGGCUGGGCGUGAUGACACGCACCUGUAGUCCCAGCUUCUCAGGAGGCUGAGGCACGAGAGUUGCUUGAAUCUGACUGGCAGAGGUUGCAGUGAGCCAAGAUCACACCACUGCCCUCCUGCCUGGGCAACAGAAUGAGACUCUGUCUCAAGGAAAAAGCUAGUUUAAUGUUGCUUUGGGAACUCUUCUAUUUCUCUCACUCCUAGGUACCACUGCUAUGGUGGACCUUGGUAUUCAUCUUCUGUCCCCUUUGUCCUGUGAAGUAACAGAAGCACUCUUCAGCCUCUUCAUCUCUCAUUCUCACAGUUGGCUCUUCCAGGUGGAAUCAUCAAACAUCCCCAUAAGAAAAGCAGACCAACCUCUAUGGCACCAGUUACGUCUCUGGAUUUCUGUCUCAUCCUAGAUCUUGGCUAGCUUUUUUGUUUACUUGUUUUUUGUUUCUAACUAUUUUAGUAGCUCUCCUAUGGCUUAAAGAGGAUUUUAAAAAUACCAUGUCCCCAUUUUCUAUUUCAAUUAAGCCAUCCUUAAUAGAUUGGUUAAAUAUUCUCAAUUUGCCAUUAGCACUAGAGUUAAUUUAUAUUCUAAAUUGAAGUCUAAUUUAUCUACAUAAAAUACAAAAAUCCUAAGGGCAUAAUUCAAUACAUUUUCCCAUAUUUAUACAUACAUGUAAUCACUUAUUGUCAUCUCAAGUAGAUGUAUUAAUAUGUAAUCCCAUGCAAACCUCACUUCUGAAUUUUAGUUCCAAGGAAAAAGGAUAAGGUCCCAUGAAUGUGCCACUAAAUGAAAUAAGAUCCUGCAUCAUUCAAUAUUUUUCACUGAUAGGUUCUUUUCCCCCUUUACUCGUGGAACUUUCCUUUGGAAGCAAUGUAUUCUUUGACAACACUUAGAGUUUGGAAGAGGCGAGAUAUCAUUAAAUAAAAAUAGUCAUCACUCCUAAACCUUGCUCUACAGUAUAUCUGAGUUCAAAACAUCCCAUUAUAGUCCAAAAUACCUCAUUUCUAAUGGCAUGUUUCACCCUUAACUGAAAUGUGUUUAAGGUAGGGAAAAAUAAUGAGCUAUUUGGUAGAAAUGAGAGCACCAGUUUAUGGUACCUUGAUUAAGGGAGGCUUUGUGACACUAAGAUUUUGAAUGGUUCCUUUGUUUGACACCCACAAGCAGUGCACCAUUCUAUGAUUCAAGACGGUGAGAGGUAAACCUUUCUUUUGUGAGACAGGAGAAGGGCCACUGUUAAAGGAGGCAUAGGAAAGGAGAACUAGCUAUUAGGAAAGAGUAAAUAUGGAAGUUUAGUUCUGGAAACUGAUUCUCUUAGAUCCAUUUUGCCUGAAUUCUUUUGGAACAUGCUCAUGGAUCCAGGGACACAAAUACCCUAGUAAAACUAUUGUUUGAAGUCACUGGAGUCUACUUCAUACACCAUCAGCUGAACAAGAUUCCUAAAUGAUAAACUACAAUCUCCAUGUUAUAGGAUUGUGUGUAGGUUUAGUGAGAUAAUGUAUGUAAGUUCCUUAGCAACCAUUACUUGGCAUGUAAUAAAAAAGCAAUAAUAAGCUACUUAUUGAUCAUCACUUAUGACCAUCACCAACUGAAUGAAUGCAUUCAUUCAUUCAAAUAUUUAUCGCAUAAAAGCAAUUUACAAGGUGUUUUAUGGUAUACUGGCCUUUAUCACUGAACUAGUGUUCAAGAGGGGACUUCAUAGUUUGGAACAAAGAACAGAAGGUGGCGAAACUUGGAUUCUUGCCUCAGUUGCCUCAGCUCAGCCUUUGAAAGCUGUGACAUCUUGGGUCUUGGUUUCAUCAUCAUCUGCCCAAAUUUUUCACUGGGUUGGUCAAGAGCUUAAUAAGAAAGUGAACAUGAAAUCUCUCUGAAAUACUGCGGAAUGUGCAAGGAACCUUCCACUCCCACUCUUUUUUUUUUCAAAGUCCAGUUUCCAUACUUAAAAGAAACUCUUAAGAUGCCAUCUCAGUCCCUAUGGGCCAAAGUUCCUCUUCAUACACUGGUCUCAACCCCUUUUCUGCCUCUACACUCUUGACAUGAGAACACUCUUCCAUAAAUAACAGCUCUCAUUAGACACUAUCAUUCCCAUGCAAGGAAGACAGACAUAGAAAAAUGGGGGAGAGGUGGUCAAGGAGCUAGGACAGCUAGUUUGUAAAAGCCCUUUGUGGAAUCAACAACCUUCUCCUUGCAGAGUUGGUUCUUUCUCCAUCUCCCAUGAAACUACUGUUGGCCCAACAUUCUCCAGAGUGUGGACCAAGGGGCACAAAUGCCAUGAAAGGUGGAUCUAGAUGGAAGGCAGGAAGGGCAGUGAAUAAGAUUAUAUCAUGAAGCAAGAUCCCUGUUCUCCUUUCAGUUCUCCUCACCACUGCUUGUGACUUCUCUAACCUUGGUUCAUCUUGAUUUUUUACAAGGAGAAAACUUGUCUUCAGGCAGGUACUGUUUAGUUAAUUUUUAACUAAUUGUUUGGUUGUCAUUGUGUUUUUUUUUCCAGUUAUCUCCUACUUUUAGCAAGGGAUAUGCCAUAAGUAGUAGCUAACACUUACCGAGUACCAAGCAGUGUUGUGAAUCAUUUCUUUCUUUUUUGGUAGAGAUGUUGCUGAGGCUGGUCUCGAACUCCUGGGCUCAAGUGACCCUUCCUCAGCCUCCCAAAUAACUGGGAUUACAAGUGUGAGACACUAUGCCCAAGUAAUUAAAAAAUUUUUUUUUCUAGAGACAGAGUCUUGCUGUGUUACCCAAGUUGGUCUGAAACUCCUGGUCUCAAGGGAUCCUCCCGCCUCAGCUUCCCAAAGUGUUGGGAUUAUAGGUGUGAGCCACUGUACCCAGCCUAAAGCUAAUUCUUAACUAAAGAAUAAAAAUUAAAGGUAAUAUGUGGAUAGCAUAAAAAUGGAGACAGAGGUCCUCAAAAGACCCAGCUUUGGGAAAUACCAAUUUAGCCCAGGCUCCACUGUCCUAUCCCAAGGGCUGAGAGUCUUCAGCUCUGGCAGAAAGUCAGUGCAGAACUGUCUGGACUGAAGGAAGAAAGGAGGAUCCCCUUUGCGUCUCCAUUUAAAGCCAUGGCAGAAUGGCCUACCUGGAUAUGGGCUGAUAUUAUAUUCUUUUAUCCUUUUUGUAUUUUUCACCAUGCAAUGGUAUUACCAAUUCAAACAAUGUGAUGUGAUAGAAACUAAUUCAAUAUAUAAACCAGAGCUUUUCCCAGUAAACCUAGCACAGCAGGUAAGGGUCAUUAGGAUUAAUGGAUUAACACACAUCAAGCAUUUAGGAUGGGGCCUAGCACCAUGUAAGUGCACUUAUAAGGGUGACAGUGGUUAACAGAAGAUGAGAUGUGCUGAGGCCCAUGAGGAGAGGCUCUCACAGUCCUGAAAGAGGCAAGUCCUCAGUGAGCUUCUAUUCGUGGUAGCUCAACAAUGGACCUAUCUGAUGUGGUUCAGGACUUGCUUUAUUCUGGGCAGUUGCAUGGAUCUGCCAUAGUGAGCUGGCUAUGUAGAAACAUUCUGCUUGGGUGCCUGGACAGCCGCCGAUGAUCUGAGCCUCUGUGCAUCACCAGCUACAGGACCCCAUCUCUGUAGUCGUGGAGCAUCACUAAGUUCCUGAAUGAACAUGCAUCAAACCCCUGCCCUGUGUUGAGGGCUGCAUGCAGCUGGCUGAUGAAUCGGGAAAGUAUGUGUUUCCAGACCAGCACCACCAUCAGGGAGAAGUGGGCUGUUAAAACCAGAGGAGAUGGAUUCUUCUAUGCUUCUUUAAAAAUUAUUUUUAAAUUAAUUAAAAAAUCUUUAUUUUUUGGAGGGGGUACAUGUGAUAAUUUAAGACAUUCAUAUCAUUUUUGAAGACCAAAUCCACAUAUGUGGGAUGUCCAUCACCUAAAAUAUUUGUCUUUUCUUUAUGCUAGAAAUAUUUAAAUUAUUCCCUUCUAGCUAUUUUGAAAUGCACAAUAGAUUAUUGUAAAAUGUAGUUGCUCUCCUGCUCUAUUGAACACCAGCUCUUAUUUCUUCUAUACUUAUUAGACAAUUAGACCAGUAGACCAAGAGAACAAGAUUAGGCAGGAACCCAGGCAGCUCAGUGAGGUCAAGGGCUUGGAGCUGGGACUUGCUUACACUCCUCUGCUGGGCCCUUACCUUUUGCAGAGCUCCUCCAUUUGUAGAAUACCCACAGGCAUGACUGUAGUUUAGGGACAGAGCUUGUAUACAAUGAACAUGGCCACAUCACUGAGUAGCCAUCUAACCCUGGACAAAACAUUCUUCCCUUUGAGCCUGAUAUGUUUUGGCUGUGUCCCCACCCAAAUCUCAUCUUGAAUUGUAGUUCCCAUAAUCCCCACAUGUCCUGGGAGGGACCAUUCAAUUACUUCCUGUGUGUGGGAGAUGUAAUUGAAUCAUGGGUGUGGUUUCCCCCAUGCUAGUUCUGUAAUAGUGAGUAAGUUCUCACAAGAUCUGAUGGUUUUAUAAGGGGCUUCCCCUUCACUCAGCUGUCAUUUUUCUCCUGCCUGCUGCCACGUGAAGAAGUAUGUGUUUGCUUCCCCUUCCACCAUGAUUGUAAGUUUCCUGAGACUUCUCCAGCCCUGCAGAACUGUGAAUCUUUUCUUCAUAAUUUACCCAGUUUCAGGCAGUUCUUUAUAGCAGCAUAAGAAUAAACUAAUACAGAGCCUCUGCAUCCUCAUCUGUAAAAUGCAAGUUGUAAUUAGCACCAACCUUAAACAGUUGUUAUAUGAGUCAAAUUAGAUAAGGCAGGGAAGGUGCCUGGCACACUGUGGGUGAGGCAGCUCUGGGCAGGCAAGACCAGGAGACUGGGCUGCAAGAGGUGAAGCUACUACCUUAGGACACAUGGCUGCUAAAAGGACAGAGCCCUUUAUUUAAGCCCAGUGGCCUCUGCCCUGGGAAAUGUGUCCCUAGCAUGGUGUGAUGUUCAGCCUCUGAAGUGCCACAAAAUGCAACAGUGAAGUUCAAGACUCAGAAGUCAGCCUGUGAUUUCUGUAAGUUUAGAUAAAUAAGAAUUUGCUUUAUUUGAUUUACAUCAAUAUUAUGGACAGAAAUGUGACCAAAGUCUGCCGUUGGAGGUGAGCAGGGGCAGUCUAAAUGAAGAAAAGCUUUGUUUGCACUUCUGUGGCUAAAAUGAAUCAUAUAGGUUUUUUUUUUUUUUUACAUUAGAGUUUAUUCUUGGUGCUGUACAUUCUACAUGUGUUUUACAAACGAAUAAUGGUGUAUUCACCAUUGUAGUUCAACCUGUUAAUUUUUAGUAUCUUUUUUUAAUUGCAUUUUAGGUUUUGGGGUACAUGUGAAGAACAUGCAAGAUACAUAGUUGCAUAGGUACACACAUGACAGUAUGAUGUGCUGCCUUCCUCCCCAUCACCUAUAUCUGGCAUUUCUCCCCAUGCUAUCUCUCCCCAACUCCCCACCCCCCACUGUCCCUCCCCUAUUUCCCCCUGACAGACCCCAGCGUCUGAUGCUCCCAUAACCCUGUGUCCAUGUGUUCUCAUUGUUCAAUACCCGCCUAUGAGUGAGAACAUGCGGUAUUUCACUUUCUCAUAUAGGUUUUAAGUGAGUUGUUCCACUUGUUGUGCAGUGCCUCGGAAAAUGCACCUAAAUUUCCACAUCUAUGUUAGAUGUACCCAGCCUCAGGAAAGUGUCUUUUGCGGCGCGAGACUGUUCAGCAGGAGGAUCUGGAAGCUGCUUGGGUUCAAAUUCUAGCUACAUCCCUACACCAGAAGCUGGGUGGCCUUCUGGGAAGCUUCACCUUCCUCAUGUGCAAGAUGGUGCUGAGAGUGGUAUCUAUUUCACAAGGUAUCUGUUAAUGGAGAUGGGGCUCAACAGAGUCUAAGCUAGACAGGGUACUUAGCACAGGGCCUGGCAAACAAGAGGAGCUCUGUGAUCAUAGCUAUUAUUAUAAUUAAGGCACAAAGUCUCACUUAAACUUACAAAGCAUUAUCCUUGGCAGCCAAAGCAUGAACACACUGUUCUUCCCAGCUGUGGACCUGAAUGGUGGCUGAGACUGGAGCCACCUGUCGUAUCUGAGCUCACAGAUGCCUCCUACAUUCACCAAGCCAGCCUCUGCAUUUUAUGUGGCUCUGAAUUCUCCCCACUCCCACCCUCCUCAGCCCGCUGCCAUCCUGCCUCAGGCUCAGUGCUCAGCACAGUGGGUUCUACCUAAUGGUCUGCCCAUCAGCAUUGAAUAUGCUGUGCAUCAACUCGGGAGGGGUUUUAUUUUAGAAGGGAUGGCAUAUUGGCAAUGCCUGAAGAUGGGAUCAAGGAAAAUGAGGCCAGUGGGGCCUUCAGCCAUGACCUUCCUGAUCAAAGGUGGUGCUUUCUUUCCAAGUAACAUUUCAGACAUCUAAUAAUUGAUGGGAUGAUGCGAACUCACAACGAGCUUGAACAGCUGCUCCUGGGUAGACUGUUUAGCGCCUCUCCAGCUCAAUUCUUCAUUUCAAAAAAUAGGAAUGAAAAAUACCUGCCUUUCUAGGCAUUUAUAAGGAUCAACUUACCUUGCAAGCAUAAUGCUCUGCAAAUGUAAAUGUGCUCUCUCUCUCUCUCUCUCUCUCUCACACACACACACACACACACACACACACACACACACAGACACGAGUCUUGUUUUUUGCAUCUCUUAAUUUAAUAGGCUGGUGGAAAACAGGAGGGCCAGAAGUCUUUUUUCCCCGACAUUAAUUUAAUCCUGUGCAUCUCCCUUCUCUCUCGGCUGUAGCCUCUAAAGAGAAGAGGCCAUCAUGGGGUUUGCUGGGCAACAGGAGAUGGAUCGUGAAAGAUGAUGAUGAUUCUAGUGAUUCAUCUUCCAGUCGGCUCAGGAAGCGGACCUUUUGCAGACGGAGUCUCACUCUGACACCCAGGCUGGAGUGCAGUGGUGCAAUCUCAGCUUAUUGCAACCUUCGCCUCCAGAGUUCAAGCGAUUCUCCUGCCUCAGCCUCCCAAGUAGUUGGGAUUACAGAUAUGCAUUUUUGAGACAAGAGGCUGUAGCUGGCCUUGGAAGAAGAAAAAUGAGAACAGGUUCUGGAAAGGGGAAAAGGACCAAACAAUCCUUCCAUCACAGGAGGGAGAGAUAGCACUGAACAGGAAACAGGUGAGUAAACAAGAAUAUCACCAUCCCUGGGUUGAGAUAGGGGAGCAAAGAUACAAAUAGCAUGGCUUUGAACCAAAAGGGUUGGAGGGGGUACUUCAUGGUAUGCAUCAGAGGAUGGAGACUCAGAGAAAGUGGGUGCAGGUUUAUAUAACCAUGUUUCUGCCUUCAUUAAUAGUAGCAAAGGCCAAUGAAAUGACAUCAUGUGCCAGGCACUGUGCUAAGAGCUUUACCUGGAUUCUUCCAUUCAAUAGUCAUAACAACUCACUGAGAAGGCACUGCUAUUCUCCCUACUAUAUAGAUGGGGACAUUGAAAUUCAAGAGGCUAAGAAACCUGACCCACACCCUGCAGCCUGAGAGAGGAGCAGAGCUGAAAUUGGAACCCAGCUCCAUGGCACUCCAGAGUGGGAUCAUGCAGCCACUCGAGGGCUGAGCUAGCACUUCCAUUGACCCAUGAAUUGAGGAACUGAACCCUGGAGAGUGGAAUAGAACGUGUUACCCUGAGACCCUCUCCUCCCCUGCCUCAUUCUUGUCUUUAAAGCCCUGCUCAGUCAGCUUGAGAGACCCAGUGUCCUGGACCCUUGCUAUGCAAAGAGGCUGGGCUGGGUGGGAUUCCCAUGAAAAGUGUGACCCACAGGCCACUAAAGGGGAUGGGAGGCACUGCCUGGCUGUCUGGAGCUUCUUGUUUGUUUCUGCUGAGUCCUAAUAUGAUUAAUUCUGUUCUGGAUGAUGAGAAGAGAAUACACAAUGAAGGGGAUUCCUUCCUUGCCCCCACCUCCUACACAGAAGUCCAGGCUCCCAUCCAGCUGGCACAAAACCUGACAUUUGUAAGACAGGACCAUCCACGUUAGAGGCACUUCCCAGGACUGUGCUUUGCGUGUACACCCAGCAUCUUAAGCACAUAUUCCCCUGGGAAAGGAGACAGUCCAGAAUGUAUGUGUGUGUGUGUGCGUGCACGCGUACCUGUGUUGGGGAUGGGGAGCUCACUUGUCAGAAAUUUGCCACCAAGAUCCUUCCUUUAGUGGGAGCAUACUUGUUUCUUGCUGUUGGAACUUUGGACCCCCUUUAUAUUACAGGCAUAAUCUCUCUGUGCUUUACUAGGGAAGUAAAGUGACCCAGAAGAGGUCGCUGGCUUGGGCAGGUGAUGUCCCUUUCUCUGCCUUGU